AGCUCCUGAUCCCGAUAGCAGCAUCAGCCAGCGCGUCUUGCUUCAGUUUUUGUAUCCACUCCAUCACCUUCCUGGGGCUCAGAAUCAGAGGACUCCCUUCCUUCUACCUCUUUAUACAUUACCCUCUUGCGACUUCAUCACUCAGAUGGAGAAAGGCAAAAGAACAUGGAAUUGGGAAGGUGUCAAAAAAACAAACGAUCCCAAGGGACUCCCCAGCUGGAACAGAACUUGGGAGACCAGCUGAAGACUGGAGAAAAAUGAGGAGG
rnacentral:lncRNA from 1 species